rnacentral:rRNA from 1 species
GAUGAACGCUGGCGGCGUGCCUAAUACAUGCAAGUCGAGCGAACGGACGAGAAGCUUGCUUCUCUGAUGUUAGCGGCGGACGGGUGAGUAACACGUGGAUAACCUACCCAUAAGACUGGGAUAACUUCGGGAAACCGGAGCUAAUACCGGAUAAUAUUUUGAACCGCAUGGUUCAAAAGUGAAAGACGGUCUUGCUGUCACUUAUAGAUGCUUCCGCGCUGCAUUAGCUAGUUGGUAAGGUAACGGCUUACCAAGGCAACGAUGCAUAGCCGACGGGAGAGGGUGAUCGGCCACACUAGAACUGAGACACGGUCCAGACUCCUACGGGAGGGAGCAGUAGGGAAUGUUCCGCAAUGGGCGAAAGCCUGACGGAGCAACGCCGCGUGAGUGAUGAAGGUCCUCGGAUCGUAAAACUCUGUUAUUAGGGAAGAACAUAUGUGUAAGUAACUGUGCACAUCUUGACGGUACCUAAUCAGAAAGCCACGGCUAACUACGUG